rnacentral:rRNA from 1 species
UGUGGUGGAAAGAUUUAUCGGUGCAGGAUGGGCCCGCGGCCUAUCAGCUUGUUGGUGGGGUAAUGGCCUACCAAGGCGACGACGGGUAGCCGACCUGAGAGGGUGACCGGCCACACUGGGACUGAGACACGGCCCAGACUCCUACGGGAGGCAGCAGUGGGGAAUAUUGCACAAUGGGCGGAAGCCUGAUGCAGCGACGCCGCGUGAGGGAUGAAGGCCUUCGGGUUGUAAACCUCUUUCAGCAGGGACGAAGCGUGAGUGACGGUACCUGCAGAAGAAGCACCGGCUAACUACGUGCCAGCAGCCGCGGUAAUACGUAGGGUGCGAGCGUUGUCCGGAAUUACUGGGCGUAAAGAGUUCGUAGGCGGUUUGUCGCGUCGUUUGUGAAAACCCGGGGCUCAACUUCGGGCUUGCAGGCGAUACGGGCAGACUUGAGUGUUUCAGGGGAGACUGGAAUUCCUGGUGUAGCGGUGAAAUGCGCAGAUAUCAGGAGGAACACCGGUGGCGAAGGCGGGUCUCUGGGAAACAACUGACGCUGAGGAACGAAAGCGUGGGUAGCAAACAGGAUUAGAUACCCUGGUAGUCCACGCCGUAAACGGUGGGCGCUAGGUG